rnacentral:lncRNA from 1 species
GCCUAGGGGGAGUCCUGUCAGAGGGAAGGGGUUUGGCUAGGGGGCAGUCCUGUCAGAGGGAAGGGGUUUGGCCUAGGGGGAGUCCUGUCAGAGGGAAGGGGUGUGGCCUAGGACGAGUCCUGUCAGAGGGAAGGGUGUGGCCUAGGGGAGUCCUGUCAGAGGGCUGUGACCCUUCACAAGUGUUUGUGUUUAUAAUAUGAUGUGUGUGCAGGCUGAGCAGUACUCGGGAGGCGUUGGCAGCAUCAGAGAGAGAGAUGGAACAACAGAGGAAGCAGCACUCUGUGACGGUAGAUAAACUACUGCUGCAGACACACAACCUGGAGACCGCCCUGAAGACUGACCGCCUGGUUAUUACUGAGGAGAGGAGGAAGCUAGCCCAGCUGCAGCACGCCUACACCUGUCUGUUAAGGACUACGACUCAAACUCAAGACUGAGGUGUGUGUGUGUGUGUGUGUGUGUGUACCUGUCUGUUUAAGGACUACGACUCCAAACUAAAGACAGGUGUGUGUGUGUGUAGGGGAGGAGACCUGUUGUUCGUCUGGAGGAGAGCAGAGAGGCUCUGGCUCUGAAACAGGAUCUGAUUGACAAGCUGAAGGAAGAGGUGGAGCAACAGAGAGGAUCUCUAGAGACCGUUCCUGUUCUCACUGCCCAGGUACACACACUCACCCCUGUUCUCACUGCCCAGGUACACACACUCACCCCUGUUCUCACUUGCCCAGGUACACACACUCACCCCUGUUCUCACUGCCCAGGUACACACACUCACCCCUGUUCUCACUGCCCAGGUACACACACUCACCCCUGUUCACACUGCCCAGGUACACACACUCACCCCGUUCUCCCGCCCAGGUACACACACUCACCCCGUUCUCACUGCCCAGGUACACACACUCACCCCUGUUCUCUCCGCCCAGGUACACACACUCACCCCUGUUCUCACUGCCCAGGUACACACACUCACCCCUGUUCUCUCUGCCCAGGUACACACACUCACCCCUGUUCUGACUGCCCUGUUGCUUUGGCUAGGGGCUGAGGCCAGAGGCUUUUACAGAGAAGGCAAUAGCCUGCGCUAUGAGUGGAUUUGCCCCUAUAUUCAGGAGAUGAGACUCGACCAGGGCUGUUCACCUCUAGCCCCCUGUUCACCUCUAGCCCCCCGUUCUCUUCCAGUCCGGAGGGCUGAAAUGGUGCCCUA